rnacentral:tmRNA from 3 species
GGGGUUGUUUAGUUUCGACAAUUUGUACUUUUAAAACAAGCAAGCCGAGGAUGAUAAUAACUCGUUAAAAUUUUAUCAAAAGUUAUAAGUGCCAACUUCAUAACUAAAGCAAAAUCGGCAUUAGCUCGCGCUUUUGCUCCGAAUUUUGCCCUAGCCUUAGCCUAACCGCUUUUAGCGGAGCUUUGACUCAUCGAAUUGCCGAUUUCUCAUAGGCAAACCUCGGUGUCAUAUAUGAGGAUAGCCGCUCGGGAUGUUCUAAGCCCGAUUGGCGAAACUAAUUUAGAAAUAGAUCAAGAAGGUUUUGUCCGCUUUCCACUUCUUGAUUGAAGCCCGCAAGGCUUUAAAGCUGACUACGCUUGUAGAAUGUUUUGAAAGAAUAAAUUUGGACGCGAGUGCAAUUCUCGCCAACUCCACAG